AAAAAAACAAACCCUGAUUUCCGUGUCCAACGUUUGACCGUUCGUCUUAUUUAAAAAAAUUAUGAAAAAGAUUAAAAAGAUAAGUCACGCAUAAAGUAUUAAUCAUGUUUUAUCAUCUACCAAUAAUGAAAAUACUAAUUAUAAAAAAAUUUCAUAUAAGACGGACAGUCAAACGUUGGCACGGAAACCCAGGGUUUGCCUUUUU
rnacentral:pre_miRNA from 1 species